rnacentral:rRNA from 1 species
CUUACGGGAGCCAGCAGUGGGGAAUCUUGACAAUGGGCGCAAGCCUGAUCCAGCCAUGCCGCGUGAGUGAUGAAGGCCUUAGGGUCGUAAAGCUCUUUCGCCAGGGAUGAUAAUGACAGUANCUGGUAAAGAAACCCCGGCUAACUCCGUGCCAGCAGCCGCGGUAAUACGGAGGGGGUUAGCGUUGUUCGGAAUUACUGGGCGUAAAGCGUACGUAGGCGGGUUGUUAAGUUAGAGGUGAAAUCCCAGGGCUCAACCCUGGAACUGCCUUUAAUACUGNCAAUCUAGAGUUCGAGAGAGGUGAGUGGAAUUCCGAGUGUAGAGGUGAAAUUCGUAGAUAUUCGGAGGAACACCAGUGGCGAAGGCGGCUCACUGGCUCGAUACUGACGCUGAGGUACGAAAGUGUGGGGAGCAAACAGGAUUAGAUACCCUGGUAGUCCACACCGUAAACGAUGAAUGCCAGUCGUCGGGUAGCAUGCUAUUCGGUGACACACCUAACGGAUUAAGCAUUCCGCGUGGGGUUANGGUCGCANUUAA